rnacentral:rRNA from 1 species
ACGGGAGGCAGCAGUGAGGAAUAUUGGUCAAUGGAGGGAGUCUGAACCAGCCAAGUAGCGUGAAGGAUGAAGGUUCUAUGGAUUGUAAACUUCUUUUAUACGGGAAUAAACGGAUCCACGUGUGGUUUUUUGCAUGUACCGUAUGCCUAAGGAUCGGCUAACUCCGUGCCAGCAGCCGCGGUAAUACGGAGGAUCCGAGCGUUAUCCGGAUUUAUUGGGUUUAAAGGGAGCGUAGAUGGGUUGUUAAGUCAGUUGUGAA